AACGAACGCUGGCGGCAGGCUUAACACAUGCAAGUCGAGCGCGUGGCAACACGAGCGGCAGACGGGUGAGUAACACGUGGGAACGUACCCUUUUCUACGGAAUAACGCAGGGAAACUUGUGCUAAUACCGUAUACGCCCUUUUGGGGAAAGAUUUAUCGGAGAAGGAUCGGCCCGCGUUGGCUUAGCUAGUUGGUGGGGUAAAGGCCUUCCAAGGCGACGAUCCCUAGCUGGUCUGAGAGGAUGAACAGCCACAUUAGGAAUGGGACACGGCCUAAACGCCGACGGGAGGCAGCAGUGGGGAAUAUUGGACAAUGGGCGCAAGCCUGAUCCAGCCAUGCCGCGUGCGUGAUGAAGGCCUUAGGGUUGUAAAGCUCUUUCACCGAUGAAGAUAAUGACGGUAGUCGGAGAAGAAGCCCCGGCUAACUUCGUGCCAGCCGCCGCCGUAACAC
rnacentral:rRNA from 1 species